rnacentral:rRNA from 1 species
GCGUGCAGGAUGACGGCCCUACGGGUUGUAAACUGCUUUUAUAUGGGAAGAAACCUUUCCACGUGUGGAAAGCUGACGGUACCAUGUGAAUAAGGGUCGGCUAACUCCGUGCCAGCAGCCGCGGUAAUAUAAUA